GCAGCAGUGUGACAGCCAGCAAUCAAAAGUAACAAGAUAUCGAGGAAAUGCAGAAGGCAAAAAACUGCGUAGGAGAUCAUUAAUACAAUAGUAUUAUAUAAACCAAGCCUGAUGUUGGCCGCUCAUUCAAAGAAUGCAGCAGUGUGACAGCCAGCAAUCAAAAGUAACAAGAUGUCGAGGAAAUGCAGAGUGCAAUAAACUGUGUAGGAGAUUAUGAUUGCAAUAGAAUAAAAUCGACCAAGCCUGAAGUCCUUCAAUGCACGCAGCAGUGUGACAGCCAGCAAUCAAAAGUUACAAGAUAUCGAGGAAAUGCAGAAGGCAAAAAACUGCGUAGGAGAUUAUUAAUACAAUAUUAAUACAAUAGUAUUAUAUCAACCAAGCCUGAUGUCGGUAGCUUCUUCAAUGAAUGCAGCAGUGUGACAGCCAGCAAUCAAUAGUGACAAGAAUCUAGGAAAUACAGAAGACAAAGAAGCAGAUGUCUUCAAAAAAGAUCUUUGUUCCUGCAAUGUUUCCGCAGACGAUACGUCCAACAGAGCGAAGUGGAAGGAAAAGACUCGGAAAAAAGACCCCACCACCAUAUGGGAACAAUGCAAGGGAGAGAGAGAGAAUAUAAUGUUAUAUU